GGGUUUCGACAGCUGGAUUAUACGUUGAUAAACCUUAUAAGAAGAAUUACGGGAGCUGUCUCUGAUAAUGGUGUGCAAGCUCAGAUUUUGACUGAGAAGCCUAAAGUUGUUACAUGGCGCCCACUUUGUCCAAUGCGGUUUUAUCCUCAUCGGCCCAGCCUAGUCGAAACCUU
rnacentral:other from 1 species